GAUGGCCUUGCGGUGCAUUAGCUAGUUGGUGAGGUAACGGCUCACCAAGGCGACGAUGCAUAGCCGACCUGAGAGGGUGAUCGGCCACACUGGGACUGAGACACGGCCCAGACUCCUACGGGAGGCAGCAGUAGGGAAUCUUCCACAAUGGACGAAAGUCUGAUGGAGCAACGCCGCGUGAGUGAUGAAGGUUUUCGGAUCGUAAAACUCUGUUGUAAGGGAAGAACACGUACGAGAAGUAAUGCUCGUACCUUGACGGUACCUUACGAGAAAGCCACGGCUAACUACGUGCCAGCAGCCGCGGUAAUACGUAGGUGGCAAGCGUUGUCCGGAGUUAUUGGGCGUAAAGCGCGCGCAGGCGGCCUUUUAAGUCUGAUGUGAAAGCCCCCGGCUCAACCGGGGAGGGCCAUUGGAAACUGGAAGGCUUGAGUACAGAAGAGAAGAGUGGAAUUCCACGUGUAGCGGUGAAAUGCGUAGAGAUGUGGAGGAACACCAGUGGCGAAGGCGACUCUUUGGUCUGUAACUGACGCUGAGGCGCGAAAGCGUGGGGAGCAAACAGGAUUAGAUACCUUGGUAGUCCACGCC
rnacentral:rRNA from 1 species